rnacentral:miRNA from 1 species
AGGGGGACCAACAUCUUGGUUUUCCUGGGACUGAGGGGCUUCCUAGGAUAUGGGAAUUAGAGAGCUA